CAGAGCGUGACUUGAUGCUGAUUGAGAGGCAGAACAAACAGUGACAGCUAGCAUAACACCAUGGUUGAAUGUGAUAGAAAAAAUAAAUAAAAAUAACAACCUCUUUUGCACCUGGGUGAUGUGUCACCCUGUCGUCCUAAUGAAGAAACUGCCCCUGUGAAAUGUUUUGACAUAGUGUGUAGAAAAGCAGUUCAUCAAAUUCAUGGCUACUGCACAAUGAAAAAGAGGAAGUUCCAUUUUUAAGACAAAUGGGAACUUCUCAGGAUUGAUUUAAAGAUUUGAGUGAAACAUAAUUUUCUGAAUUUUGAAUCACACCUGAUUAAAUCUGCAGCUUCAAGAGCUCCUACAACAGUCAGUAUACUCAUCGCUUUAUGAUUUUUUCUCCUUUACAAAGGCAAAGGGUUGCAUAUUUCCCAGCUGUGCACUGGGUUUAUUUUAGAUGGACAUUUGCUUUUAGAUUUUAAAUAGUGUUGAGCAUCCCAGUCAUAAACAGUAUCAGGGUCUCAAAGAUUUCAGCUCCAAACACACCUGAAAAAAAAUAAAAUAAAAUAAAUGUAAUGACGAAUGCUCUCUAAGGUGCGCAAGGAAGAACGUAAUUUGAGUUUUUAAUAGCAAGCCUGUGUGUGUGCGGCUUCAAGAAACCUAACAAAGUGAAUCUUCCAUUUACAUUGUUUCUUUCACUGUUUCAUAUUCUCUUUAUUUCAAAGUUUGUCAAGUCAAGUACACAUUCAUUGACUCUUAGGUCUGAACUUAUGCUCUGAUGCUCUUCAGCACAGCAUCCUCAAAUACGAGAAAUGAAAUAAGGGUCCAAAUUCUCAGAGGUCUGUGGUAAUAAAUGCACUUCCUGUUGUUUUUUCAGGCAGUUUAUAUCUCUGGUUUUCAUUAGAGUUCAGUCAGUCAUUCAGUCAGUCAAGGCACAUUAGUCACACUCUAAAAAAAAUAAGAGUCCAGUCCAGCAUGGAUGUACGGGCAGGAAUUCUUCUCUACUGGCUUCACAGUAUGAUUUUAAAGCUUUCUUUCCAUACAUUAUAUGAAUAAAUGAUUUGAAUAAUUUUAGAAUUUUAUUAGAAAUACUUUUUUCUAUUUCUAUUUAUGUUAACUUCAUUACGUUUUUUUUUUUUUACAUUUAUUAAAGGAAUAUUUCACCCAGAAAUGGAAAUUUACUGUUAAGUUACUCACCCUCAUUCCAUCCAAUAUGACAUUUUUCAGUAGAACAGUAAAGAGGAUUUUUUGCUUAACCCACGGUCCUUUUUGUUUCAUAAUAUGCAAGUCCAUGGCUACCAUCACUUUGUGAGUCAAAAAAGGCAGAUACAAAAACACUAAAUGAAUCCCCUUAACUCCUGGCGAUUUAUUGAGGUCUUAGGAGGCAAAGGAUCAGUUUGUAUGAGAAACUGAACACUUUAUUUACAACAUUGUUA
rnacentral:lncRNA from 12 species